rnacentral:ncRNA from 1 species
UACAAGACGAGAAGACCCUGUGGAGCUUAAGUCGCAUAACUCAACACAUACUAACACAUAACCUACCGGAACAACCCAUAUAAGCCCCUGAGUUAUAGUUUUUGGUUGGGGUGACCUCAGAGCAUAAAAUAACUUCCGAAUGAAUAUAACCUAGAUUAACGAAUCUAAGUGUUACAAUACCAGUAAUUGACCCAUCUCUUGAUCAACGGAACAAGUUACCCCAGGGAUAACAGCGCAAUCCUAUUUAAGAGCCCAUAUCGAAAAUUAGGGUUUACGACCUUGAUGUUAGAUCAGGACACCCAAAUGGUGCAACCGCUAUUAAAGGUUCGUUUGUUCAACGAUUAAAGUCCUACGUGAUCUGAGUUCAGACUGGAGAAAUCCAGGUCGGUUUCUAUCUGUA